rnacentral:snRNA from 1 species
AUGCUCACUUCGGCAGUACAUAUACUAAAAUUGCAAUGAUACAGAGAAAAUUAGCAUGGUCCCUGAGCAAGAAUGAACACAAAUUCAUGAAGGGUUCCAUAGUUUU